rnacentral:rRNA from 1 species
CAGGAUGAACGCUAGCUACAGGCUUAACACAUGCAAGUCGAGGGGCAGCAUGGUCUUAGCUUGCUAAGGCCGAUGGCGACCGGCGCACGGGUGAGUAACACGUAUCCAACCUGCCGUCUACUCUUGGACAGCCUUCUGAAAGGAAGAUUAAUACAAGAUGGCAUCAUGAGUCCGCAUGUUCACAUGAUUAAAGGUAUUCCGGUAGACGAUGGGGAUGCGUUCCAUUAGAUAGUAGGCGGGGUAACGGCCCACCUAGUCUUCGAUGGAUAGGGGUUCUGAGAGGAAGGUCCCCCACAUUGGAACUGAGACACGGUCCAAACUCCUACGGGAGGCAGCAGUGAGGAAUAUUGGUCAAUGGGCGAGAGCCUGAACCAGCCAAGUAGCGUGAAGGAUGACUGCCCUAUGGGUUGUAAACUUCUUUUAUAAAGGAAUAAAGUCGGGUAUGGAUACCCGUUUGCAUGUACUUUAUGAAUAAGGAUCGGCUAACUCCGUGCCAGCAGCCGCGGUAAUACGGAGGAUCCGAGCGUUAUCCGGAUUUAUUGGGUUUAAAGGGAGCGUAGAUGGAUGUUUAAGUCAGUUGUGAAAGUUUGCGGCUCAACCGUAAAAUUGCAGUUGAUACUGGAUAUCUUGAGUGCAGUUGAGGCAGGCGGAAUUCGUGGUGUAGCGGUGAAAUGCUUAGAUAUCACGAAGAACUCCGAUUGCGAAGGCAGCCUGCUAAGCUGCAACUGACAUUGAGGCUCGAAAGUGUGGGUAUCAAACAGGAUUAGAUACCCUGGUAGUCCACACGGUAAACGAUGAAUACUCGCUGUUUGCGAUAUACUGCAAGCGGCCAAGCGAAAGCGUUAAGUAUUCCACCUGGGGAGUACGCCGGCAACGGUGAAACUCAAAGGAAUUGACGGGGGCCCGCACAAGCGGAGGAACAUGUGGUUUAAUUCGAUGAUACGCGAGGAACCUUACCCGGGCUUAAAUUGCAGAUGAAUUACGGUGAAAGCCGUAAGCCGCAAGGCAUCUGUGAAGGUGCUGCAUGGUUGUCGUCAGCUCGUGCCGUGAGGUGUCGGCUUAAGUGCCAUAACGAGCGCAACCCUUGUUGUCAGUUACUAACAGGUUCCGCUGAGGACUCUGACAAGACUGCCAUCGUAAGAUGUGAGGAAGGUGGGGAUGACGUCAAAUCAGCACGGCCCUUACGUCCGGGGCUACACACGUGUUACAAUGGGGGGUACAGAGGGCCGCUACCACGCGAGUGGAUGCCAAUCCCCAAAACCUCUCUCAGUUCGGACUGGAGUCUGCAACCCGACUCCACGAAGCUGGAUUCGCUAGUAAUCGCGCAUCAGCCACGGCGCGGUGAAUACGUUCCCGGGCCUUGUACACACCGCCCGUCAAGCCAUGGGAGCCGGGGGUACCAGAAGUGCGUAACCGCGAGGAGCGCCCUAGGGUAAA